AACGAACGCUGGCGGCAGGCCUAACACAUGCAAGUCGAGCGAGACCUUCGGGUCUAGCGGCGGACGGGUGAGUAACGCGUGGGAACGUGCCCUUUUCUACGGAAUAGCCUCGGGAAACUGAGCGUAAUACCGUAUACGCCCUUUGGGGGAAAGAUUUAUCGGGGAAGGAUCGGCCCGCGUUGGAUUAGGUAGUUGGUGGGGUAAUGGCCUACCAAGCCUACGAUCCAUAGCUGGUUUGAGAGGAUGAUCAGCCACACUGGGACUGAGACACGGCCCAGACUCCUACGGGAGGCAGCAGUGGGGAAUCUUAGACAAUGGGGGCAACCCUGAUCUAGCCAUGCCGCGUGAGUGAUGAAGGCCUUAGGGUUGUAAAGCUCUUUCAGCUGGGAAGAUAAUGACGGUACCAGCAGAAGAAGCCCCGGCUAACUCCGUG
rnacentral:rRNA from 1 species